AGAUGUGAGGAUGAUCUGGCUGAGAUGCCUGUCACCCCGCUGAUCAUUGAUCAGGUGGGUGUUCCCUUCCUCCUUCACUGCUCUAUGUGUACCCUGAAGCUGCAUGCUUGUUCAAAAAGGGUAAUAUUCCUGCAUACAGGAGGGCUGUUCUUCAAUCAAGGGUGUUUUGAGUAAUUGGUCUCCCCAGCUAGAACCUCCAAACAAGCUCUCAAGAAUUUCCAUCAUUUGAGAUCUCUAUACUAUACUUUUGCAACUUGUUUUAACAAAAUGCCAAACUUUAUAUGCAUGCCUUU
rnacentral:snRNA from 1 species